CUGACCUCAGAUCAGGCAAGA
rnacentral:rRNA from 2 species